rnacentral:rRNA from 1 species
UAUCUCUGUAGAGUCUGCAUAUCAAUAAGCGGAGGAAAAGAAACUAACUAGGAUUCCCUCAGUAACGGCGAGUGAAGCGGGAAGAGCUCAAAUUUGAAAUCUUCAAGGUUCUACCUUGACGAAUUGUAGUUUAAAGAAGUGUUUUCUGUUGGAGUUUUGGUAAAAGUUCUUUGGAAUAGGACAUCAUAGAGGGUGAGAAUCCCGUAUUUGACCAGUUAUUUUCCAGCUGUCGUGAUACACUUUCAAAGAGUCGGAUUGUUUGGGAAUGCAGUCCAAAAUGGGUGGUAAAUUUCAUCUAAAGCUAAAUAUUGGCGAGAGACCGAUAGCGAACAAGUACCGUGAGGGAAAGAUGAAAAGAACUUUGAAAAGAGAGUUAAACAGUACGUGAAAUUGUCAAAAGGGAAGCGUUUGACACCAGUGUUGUUUUCUCGAAAAUCAAUUAAAAAAGUCAGGAUUUUGUAUUGUAUUGACUUUAUCAGCUUUCUGCACUCUUUUCUUGUCUUUUUUUAAUGCACUUUUCGUUUAACAAGUCAACAUCAAUUUCUUUUGUUGUAAAAGGGUCAUUGGAAGGUGGCUUUCUUUUCGGAGAAAGUGUUUAUAGCCUUUGGCCUCUGCAAUCGGAGGGAUUGAGGUCUGCAGCGUAGAUCCUUCGGGGUUAGAUACAUUUGUGCUAAGUUAUAGCCUUUCAUAGACAACUUGUUGACUAUGAUCAGUCAUGUAGCUUACCCGCUUAUGCUAUUUUACCUACGCUUAGGAUGUUGAAGAUGUAGCACAUCAU